UUCUACAAUAACGCAUAUUCUGUUCCUAAGUACUAGUGCCGCGGGAGUGAUAUCCGUUUUUUGUAUCUCCUGCAGCUCAAGUGCUUAUCAACGGGAAACAGCGCACCGACCU
rnacentral:pre_miRNA from 14 species